rnacentral:rRNA from 1 species
UAGUAGUGGGUGUAGCGUACCUACUAGCCUACGACGGGUACGGGUUGUGAGAGCAAGAGCCCGGAGAUGGAUUCUGAGACACGAAUCCAGGCCCUACGGGGUGCAGCAGGCGCGAAAACUUUACAAUGCCGGCAACGGCGAUAAGGGGACCUCGAGUGCCAGGUUACAAAUCUGGCUGUCGUGAUGCCUAAAAAGCAUUGCAUAGCAAGGGCCGGGCAAGACCGGUGCCAGCCGCCGCGGUAACACCGGCGGCUCGAGUGGUAACCGUUAUUAUUGGGUCUAAAGGGUCUGUAGCCGGCCGGAUAAGUCUCUUGAGAAAUCCAGCAGCUCAACUGUUGGGCUUUCAGGAGAUACUGUUCGGCUCGAGGCCGGGAGAGGUGAGAGGUACUUCAGGGGUAGGGGUGAAAUCUUGUAAUCCUUGAAGGACCACCAGUGGCGAAGGCGUCUCACCAGAACGGACCUGACGGCAAGGGACGAAAGCUAGGGGCACGAACCGGAUUAGAUACCCGGGUAGUCCUAGCCGUAAACGAUACUCGCUAGGUGUCGGCCACGGUGCGACCGUUGUCGGUGCCGUAGGGAAGCCGUGAAGCGAGC